rnacentral:snRNA from 1 species
AGCUCUGUGCAGUGGAAAUGUCAUAGCCAAUGAGGUUUAACUGAAGCAUGAGUAUUGUUAAUUGAAAACUUUUCAUCAUUUUAAAUUAUGCAUUUGUUCUAAUUUACAUAGACCCAUGCAGACUUUGGG